rnacentral:lncRNA from 1 species
GUCUUUCAAGUUCUGUAAUUACAGGCAGGAUUUUCAUUCUUUGAAAGAAAAGAGAAAGCUCAAGGCCAUCCUCCACUUUAGAGAGAGAGUGUGUCACAAAAACAACACUAAAGAAGAAAAGAAAAGAAUAGGGGAGAAGGAGGAGAAAUGGGAAGGUUAAUCUUCAUUGAACUCUGAGAGAACAGGCCAAAGGAAGAGACUGGCUUCAAGUUGAGGGUUUUAACGGUGUCAAGGUGCUUGUAAAAUGCCCAUGGCAAAUCUUCACUACAUAGGGUCUCCAUUAUCUUGCAGCUCUGUCAACUAACCAAAGAGAAUAAUUGCUCUAUUUAGUCAGCACUGGGGUGUAAUUUGCAUACAAUGUAGAUAUACCCUUUUAAAGACUGUUGUGCCUUAUUUAAAUAGUUAUCAAAUGCAUUACAUGAAAUAGCUUUUCCCAAAUUGUCGAGGAACAUUUGGCCUGGACACAGCGUGCUGGAAGUACCAGGAGAAGUUUCCCAGAAUGGUACUCAAAUCAGUCACUGACCAUAAGCUGGUACCAAAACAGCCAUGACCACCCUGUUGGAUAUUUUAAGCACAAAUGUUCUUUCUUCAGAGGCUUCCCGAACCACUUGUGGACUAAAUGGCAGUGGGACCAGGCAGGACAGAAACUUCUGGUCUGCAACGGUGUGGAAACCUAGUGCAGUGGAAACUUCCUGGAAUCUAUGUGGAUGAUCCUAGUAUUGGGG